AUGUUAAGCUGUAGUCACAUCAGUAGCUUCUAAAUCCUCCAGUACAAGGCCUGGCAAAGAGAAAUCCUUCGUCUGCAUAAGACAUGGAGUCAGCUGUGGAGUAACGCUUCCUGCCACCUCCUCUAUCUGCACACACACUGCUCAGAGAAAGGAACAAGCCUAUAGAUCUAUUGUUUUUUUACUGCAACAGUAAGAAAAGCAAACUGGACUGGACUCCAAAAAUCAAGCCAAGAAGCUAGAUACUAUCAGUAAAGACAGGCCUAGAGCUUUUUCUCCUGACCAAAAUGCGAAUGGAACAACACAUCUACUGAUCUACAGACACACAGUAACUGAGGAUUUACCUGAGACCCUGUAAUAUGAAGACAGACAGACAAAAGAACCGGAGAGAAACAGUCCCCUGAAAGGAAAGAACAUUUACUGGCUACUACAAGAGUGUGUGUGGGGAGGGAAAAACAGGCUAAACUACUCUAAGCUCACCAUCUCUAAACUGGUCGAUAAGAUAUUUAUAGGGACAUAAAACAUCACUAGUACACACUACAUGAACACUGAUCACUCUUAAAAAAUAUAAGUAUGUAUAGAAUAUAACAAUAUCAUAAAGGUUAUUAUGUUUUUGCCAAUUAGUGAAGACAUUUUUCUCCCUCGUUCUAGUGCAUUUACAAUAAAAUGGGCUAAUUUUCUAUUCAGUUAAAUAAAUGUACUCCUAAAAAGCUCUAUUUUUUACUCUGCCCAAUAAGUAACAAUUAUUUAAGUUUAACAUUUCUAUUGCCACACAGAACUGAUACCUAAAAUAUAAUGAUUAAAAUGUCGUAUCACUCUCUCCCCCUCCAACCCUCAUGUUUUGUACAUCUGUUGCGGCAUCCCUGAGGAUGACUGCAGUGGUUAAUUGUUGCUUUUGUUUGUUUGUUUGUUUUCUUUCUGUGUCAUGAAAACAUUCUAAAUAGGAAAAAAGAAGAAGAAGAAGAAGAAGAAAACUAUGUAGACUAUGUACAUUCCAGAGAAUACCACUUUGAAGAAUUUAUAUGCUAUAUAUAUAUAAUAUUUCGACAACUGGGGUUUUGCUAUUUCCUAUUGGAUGAAAGAGAAGAAUACAUCUAAAAGUAGUAUAAAGAAUGGGAAUGAAGAGGGACUCACAAGGCUGAACAGCACAUCUAACUUCUAAUAAAUGUUGCUGAGUGACAACCAGACUACACUUACCACUGUAAGAAUACAAAGUUAGGCACAAAUUAUAUGAUGGCUUCUUGAGGAGGUACUGUAAACGAAAGCAGAGAAACAAGGAAACCAAAUUCAGAGUACUGAAGAGAGUAAAACCUCAGUCAGGAGGAACGUAUGUGCAGCUGGCCAGAGCAGCCAGGUUUCAGGUGCAUUGUAUAACUGAGUUAUUUCCAAUGGAUAUGACAGAUAGCAAAUUCAGAAAGAAAUGUAUGGCAGCACUCUAAUUGCAGUGCCCAUGCACCUCAGUCUGACAUUAUUUCCAAACCACCUCUUG
rnacentral:lncRNA from 7 species